UUAGCCGGUGCUUAUUCUUCAGGUACCGUCAUCGCCCUAGGGUAUUAGCCCAAAGGAUUUCUUCCCUGACAAAAGUGCUUUACAACCCGAAGGCCUUCUUCGCACACGCGGCAUUGCUGGAUCAGGGUUUCCCCCAUUGUCCAAAAUUCCCCACUGCUGCCUCCCGUAGGAGUCUGGGCCGUGUCUCAGUCCCAGUGUGGCUGAUCGUCCUCUCAGACCAGUCUACUGAUCGUCGCCUUGGUAGGCCUUUACCCUACCAACUAGCUAAUCAGCCAUCGGCCGCUCCAAUAACGUGAGGCCUUGCGGUCCCCCACUUUCCCCCUCAGGGCGUAUGCGGUAUUAAUCCGGCUUUCGCCGAGCUAUCCCCCAUUACUGGGCACGUUCCGAUGUAUUACUCACCCGUUCGCCACUCGUCAGCGGAGCAAGCUCCCUGUUACCGUUCGACUUGCAUGUGUUAGG
rnacentral:rRNA from 1 species